rnacentral:sRNA from 1 species
UGAAGUUGUUGAGCGUUGGCUUACGUA